UAUGGAGGUUCCCAGGCUAGGGGUUGAAUUGGAGCUAUAGCUGCAGGCCUAUACCACAGCCACAGCAAUGCCAGAUCCGAGCUGCCUCUGCAACCUACACCACAGCACACGGCAAUGCUGGAUCCUUAACCCAUUAAGUGAGGCCAGGGAUCGAACCUGCAUCCUCAUGAAUGCUAGUCAGGUUCAUUUCCACUGAGCCAUGAUGGGAAUACCAGAAAUUUAAAUUUGUGAAUAUUUAAAAAUAUUUAUUUAUGAAUUAAGAAGACGUGGUAUAUAUGCACAAUGGAAUACUACUCAGCUGUAAAAAAGAACAAGAUAGUGCCAUUUACAGCAACAUGGAUGGAACUAGAAAUUCUCAUACUAAGUGGAAUAAGUCAUAAAGAGAAAGACAAAUGCCAUAUGCUAUCACUUACAUGUGGAAUCUAAAAUAUGGCACAGAUGAACCUAUCUACAAAACAGAAACAGACUCAUAGACAUUGACAGCAGACUUGUGGUUGCCAAGAAGGGGGGGAGGGGAAGGUAGUGGCAUGGACUGGGAGUUCAGGGUUAAUAAUGCAAACUGUUACAUUUAGACUGGACAAUGAGGUCAUGCUGUUAUAGCACAGGGAACUAUGUCCAAUCACUUGCGAUGGAACGUGAUGAAAAAUAACAUGAGAAAGAGAGGGUGUAUAGAUGCAUGACUGGAUCACUUUGCUGUACAGCAGAAAUUGACAGAACAAUGUAAAUCAACUAUAAUAAAAAUCUUUAAAUUAUUAAUUUAUUAAAAACCCAUUACAUUUGAACAAAAUAACAUCAUCUUAUAAAAAUAUCUCUAAAUUGAAAUAUCAGUAUUUUUCAAAACAAAAAUUGGUUGAUAAGAAUGACAUGGCUUUACAUUUCAAAUCUUUUUUUAAAAAAUUGAAGUAUAGUUGGUUUACAAUGUUGUUUUAGUUUCAGGUGUACAGCGAAAUGAUUCAGCUAUGCAUAUAUUUUUUUCAAAUCUCUUCUAAUAGCAGAUUUAAGGGAAAGCAACUGGAUUCUCUUAUCCACUUUUACUUUCAAUCUGUUGCCAUACUAUGUGUUGUGUAAGCACUGGAAAACUUUACUGUGGUUGUGAGAGAAUGAGGAUGAAGAAGGAAAAUAAAAUAUGAUGAUGAUGAAAAUUAUUUUGACUAUGUGGACCCCAUGAACUCAGGAAUAUCCAAUCCUGAGACUACAUUUCAAGAACCUCUGUGUUAAUCUUAAUGAAAAACAAACUUUGGUUUUGAUUCUGACCAUUAUAAAUUUGUCUUCUAUUUCAUUACAACUUAAGUUCUAUCUUUUAUUAUUUUCUUCAUUCUAUUAGAUUGAAUAAAAUAAAAUUGCUAUUUGUAUAGGCAGUUAGUAAACAAAUUUGUAUAAGUAGAAGUAAACAAAUUAUUGAACACAGGUAGUUUCAUAUGACUCACUCUAAUACUUCCUUUAGGUUUAAGUUAGUAUUAUUUUCCUAAUUUAUUAAAAUGAUUUCCAGCCUUUUUCUUUUCUUAUAUAUACAUUUAAAGCUACAAAUAUUCUUCUGAGCACAACUUAAGCUGCACCUUAAUUUUACUACAUUGUAUUUUCAUAAUAUGGAACAAAGUAUUCAUUUUAGUUCAAAGUAGUUUCCAAUUUUAAUGUGGUUUCUUCUUAUAAUCAUAGGUUAUUUAGAAAUAAUGUGAUCACUUAUGGUCAACAUUCCAUGUGCACUUAAAAAAAGUAAUUACAUUUUUUAAUCUGCCAAACAUUUUAGCUACUACUUUAUUUCCAUAUAAACUUUAUGGCACAGUAUCAUUGUCCUGCUCUUGCAGUCAACACAGUAGAUUCAUUCCUCAGAAGUUUUCUGAUUCUGAGCUUUCUUUUCUCAAUGAGAUUAUCCCAUUAUUACCACUUCUGUUUUCUCUCCCACAUAAUGCUAUAUGCCCCUGUGUAUUCUAAUCCCUUACAUAGAACUAAUUACCCAUCAGCAACAUAUUUCAUUUUCCCCCAAUUAUAAUAAAGACAACACUAAUAGUAAUUUCACAAAAAACUCAUGAAAAUUAUUAAAGAAGUAUUUCAUAGAAUUAGGAACUCACAGUGGUUAGCUAAACCACUCUUCCAUGAACUCUUUUGAUGCUGAAAAUCCUCUGUAGCUUUUCUGUUUUUAAGUAGUAGGGGCUUGGCAAAUGUUGAAUGGCGGAUCCCGCUAUUUAUCCAGUCUAUAGGACUGCAACAGUCUCCUCUCCCAGGAAGCCCAUUGUUUCUGAGGACAUCACUGACUGUUAGAAAGCACCUCCUUUGGGUGAAAUAUCUGAUUCCCUGAAGUUUCCGUCUGUUGGGUUAGAAACAAUCUAAUUCUUCACCUACCUGAUGACCCUUCAUGUCUGUAUCCUUGAAAGUUUUGCUCUACCUCAGCAUCACUAGUUCCUUCAGUCAUUCCUUGUGUUAUUCAACAUGGCUCAUUCCCUUUGGGAGCAGAAAGUGGGAAAAACUCUCACUAAGAGAGAGAACUUCUCUAAGAGAGAAGACAGGGCUUGGGAUUACCACUCUGACUGCACAUUAAAAUCAUCAGGGAAUUUCUCAGAAAAUAUUGAUACCCAUAGCCCAAAGCUGGAGAUUUUGUUUCAUUUGGCCCUAAGUAGCCAGGCAUCAGCGUUUUCUGAAUACCAAAGUGACUGAAGGCUUGAUAUUUUAAAGAUAUCAUUUCUUUCCAAGUUGAAUUAUAGAUUCAAAUGCAACCUCUAUCAAAACCUUAGCAGACUUUUUUAAAAAAGUAAUUGACAAGUGGAUUCCAAAAUCCAUAUGGAAAAAACCAUAUGGAUUCUGUAUUCCAUAUAGAAUCUGGAACAGCCAAAACAAUUUGGAAAGAAAAGAACAAAAGUUGGAAGACUUAUACUACAUGACUUUAAGACUUAAAGAUAUUGAUGCAAAAUAGUCAAAUAGCUCAGCGGAACAGAAUAGAGAAUCCAGAAAUAGCUCUACACGUAUAUUGUCCUUUGGAUUGUAACAAACAUACAAGACAAUUUGGUGAAGAAAGUAUAGUUUGGGGAUUUUUUCCCAACAAAUUGUGCUGGAACAAUGUAAUAUUUAUAUACACAAGUGAACUUUGUAUCCCUUACCGUAUAGAAACAUUAACUCAAAAUGGAUAUAAAUAUAAAAUAUUUUAUUUAAAAUAUAACUAUAAGGAGUUCCCGUCAUGGCUCAGUGGUUAACGAAUCUGACUAGAAAUGGUGAGGUUGUGGGUUCCAUCCCUGGCCUUGCUCAGUGGGUUAAGGAUCCGGUGUUGCCGUGAGCUGUAGUGUAGGUUGCAGACGUGGCUCAGAUCCCACAUUGCUGUGGCUCUGGUGCAGGCCGGCGGCUAGAGCUUUGAUUAGACCCUUACCUGGGAACCUCCAAAUGCCACAG
ensembl:lncRNA